UACGAAGGGGGCUAGCGUUGUUCGGAAUGACUGGGCGUAAAGGGUGUGUAGGCGGUUAAACACGUCAGAUGUGAAAUCCCCAGGCUUAACCUGGGAAUGGCAUUUGAUACAGUGUAGCUAGAGAUUGGUAGAGGGUAGAGGAAUUGCGAGUGUAGAGGUGAAAUUCGUAGAGAUUCGCAGGAACACCGGUGGCGAAGGCGGCUACCUGGGCCAAUACUGACGCUGAGGCACGAGAGCGUGGGGAGCAAACAGG
rnacentral:rRNA from 1 species